rnacentral:rRNA from 1 species
GGGCCCGCACAAGCGGUGGAGUAUGUGGUUUAAUUCGAUGCAACGCGAAGAACCUUACCAGGGUUUGACAUCCUGCGAAUCUCUUGGAAACGAGAGAGUGCCUUCGGGAACGCAGUGACAGGUGGUGCAUGGCUGUCGUCAGCUCGUGUCGUGAGAUGUUGGGUUAAGUCCCGCAACGAGCGCAACCCACGUCGUUAGUUGCCAGCAUUUAGUUGGGCACUCUAGAGAGACCGCCGGUGACAAACCGGAGGAAGGUGUGGAUGACGUCAAGUCAUCAUGCCCCUUACGUCCUGGGCUACACACGUACUACAAUGCUACGGACAAAGGGCAGCAAGUUCGCGAGGACAAGCAAAUCCCAUAAACCGUGGCUCAGUUCAGAUCGUAGGCUGCAACUCGCCUACGUGAAGGAGGAAUC